rnacentral:misc_RNA from 1 species
CAGGAGUUCACCACGUGCCUUGCGACCCGCGAGCGCUAACCAGCAAUUACCUUGUUCAUGGUUGAGGAAGGCAGAAGCAGAGAACAAAAGCAUUGGUUUCAAUCCCUUCCCUUUCUCAAUCCUCAACCAACCUAAUCAUCAAUCCCCGAAAAAGCUCGCCAAAAAUCCAAACUCAAGCAAUGGAUGUUUCAUCUCUUCCAGAAUCUGAACAGCAACAACUCAACCCUCAUUUCCAAGAGCAAGCACAAGCCCCACGAUACCAAAUUCAAGAUUAUUACUAUCAAACGCAGGGCCAAUCCUAUGACCACUCUUAUUACUCAUAUUACCAGGAAUACCCACCUCAAAAUCAAUGGCAAUAUGACCGGCAACCGCAAAACUACGCUUAUUACCGACCCGAUUACUCGGCUGCCUAUCAGCAACCGCUAUAUCAUCAGCAUGAGUCCGCACCAGGGGUUUCAGCACCACACGAAGCAGCGCAAAUUGUGGAUUCUGGUGGGACUGGAUUAUCGUUGCAGGCGGCGCAGCAGCAGAGGUAUUAUCCUCCCCAUCAGAGUUCGGUAAGUGUGGUGGUGCAGCCGGGGAUGAAUCCAGCAGCCGCUGUGGCGAUCGCGGCGCUGGAGCAGCUGACACAGUUCGCGGGGUCGAUGGAUGCGGCGGAGAGGGCAAUGGCCGGGUUGCCCACUAAGAGUCCUGUCUUUGGGCCCGUUCCCAUGCAUUCUCUGUAAAUUUUGCAGGAUGUUCGACAUCCACACAAGCGUGGUAGUAGAAGGGGAGGUGGACCAUUCCGAGGGGGUGGCCAGGGAAAUGUUGGCCACCACCAUGGUUCUGUCCCUUCUGUCCGUGGAAAGGGGCAUGGUCGGGGUAAGGCUCGAUCUAAGCGCUUCCAAAUACAAGGUGUGAAUUCAACAUCUUCCCAUACAGAACCUUCUGCUGCCAAGGAGCACACAGCUGAUGUGGCCAAAAAGGUAGCUGAAUCUGCUUCUGCACCAGAAAACGUAGCUCCUAACUGUCGACCUGUACAGCUUGCUUGGUGUGAACUUUGUAGGGUAGAUUGUUCUGGUUUGGAAAUUCUUGAGCAGCACAAAAAUGGAAAGAAACAUAAAAAGAACUUGCUAAGGUAUCAAGAGAUGAAAAAUGCUAUCGAACCAGCAGAAGAAAUACAGAAUCCUCAGGAACCUAUAAAUGAUUCAAAGCCUGAAGAGUCUCAGCAGCCUCCAUUUGCAGAGGAUGGUGAAGAGCAGAAGUUGGCAGAAAACUUGCCCUCUGAAGCUGGAAGCAUUGAACAUAGAAUGGAGAACAGUUGCAACAAUGAACACAGAAUGGAGAAUAAUCUGCAAAAUAAUGCUGGGGAAAAACCUCAAGUUCCUGCGGGGGAACCAUCUGAUCAGCAAGGAAGGAAGUUUAGGAUGAAUUUGUUUGAUAAUAGGAGACAUGGAAUGAAACGCAAAAUGAAGGGUGGUCAGGGAGGGAAGCGUAUAAAGACUUUUGAAGCUAGAAGAGCAGUGGAACCUCCCAAACCUAAAAUUGUAGCUCCGCAAUUAUGUGAUUUGUGCAAUGUCAAGUGUGACACACGUGAGGUUCUUGACCGCCAUCUUUCUGGUAAGAAGCAUAUUGCUAAGCUUAAACGAUUUCAAGGUCAUCAGGCAAUGUAUGGGCCAACAGGGCUUCAGGCACUUUACCCCCCUAAUCCAAUUGCAAAAACUCAUUCCCUCCCUCAAGUCCAUCAACCUUUCUACAAUCCUCAGGGCGCAUUUCUCCCACAAGGGGCUUAUUUUCCUUCCCAAGGAUACCAAUCUGCAUCAGCAGCUGCAGGUUUGAAUCCUCAAUUCUCGCAAAGUUCCAUGCCUCAACAGUCAGAAUCCACUUCAACUCUUUGAGGCAAAUCCUGCAACAGCUGUCUGAGAAUCUGGAGGCUAUGGAUCAGAUCCUCCCCUCAUUAGCAUCACAUAUCUAACUUAGUAUGUUUCUGGGAAUAGAUUUGCUGCCAUUUACUGUCAAUAUGGAGUCUCCUCUACUGAUGUUACUUGCAUUGAAGUCGUGAAGUUAACAUGGCUCAGUAGCAAUGAAUUUCACUUUCCACUAGUUCUCUUUAUCGACUCUAAGAAAGUUUUUGUUUCUGCUUUUGAAAAUAUAUUGAUAUUUUUAUAUAUUGAUAUCAUCUUAUACUGCAAUCUUAUACCAAAGGAUUGAGAGAAUGUUUGCAGGUCAGGGACAUGUAAGAACUGGGGAAAAAAUUGAAAAAGUUUCA